GUUCACAUGCUUGGAUGUUGAAUAAACAAACUGUAGCAUUUCUGAUGUUGAUGUGCAAGUAUUAGUAUUUGGUUGAGUCAUUUUUUAUUUCUCAAAAAGAGGCAUUAGGAGCAAAGUUAUCUUUUCAUUGGCUAUAUUGUCAGUGAGAGUGAAUAAUGUUGUAUGAUUCAUGCCUGUUAGAGUAAACAGGAAUAGUACCACAUUGUGUAUCCACAUAAAGUGUUAGUCCUAUGUACCCUAUAUAAUCAGCCCAUGAGGCCGAAUGCAAUAUAUCAAAUAUUCCACCAAUUAUAUUCUCCUUCAUGGUAUCAUUCGCCCAAGUUUAGAUCCUAACCCUAGCCGCCGCCGCUUCCGCACCCCCCCCCCGCGGGGAGAGGUCGAUCUACGCCGGGGGCAGCGCUCCUAUUUAGGCGCCAGAUUCUAUUGAUCCGGCUGCCAUCGUCGUCAUCGCAUAGCAGAUCGGGAUCUCCCCUACGUCAUCGCCAGACUUCCGCUGCCGCCCUGUCCCCGGGCUCGCCGCCGGUUGUCGCCAUCAACACUUGAUCUUCAUCGCAUGGAGGCAGAUAGAUCUCGCCCCGUCUCAUGCCGCCGUGGUGGUGGCCAGGGCUGGCCACACGCAUCGACCCUGCGCUGCCAUGGAGGCAGCUAGAUCUAGCGUGUCGCUGUUGUCAGGCGGAUCUUCCCAUCUCCAUCUCGUCGAUCCACGUUGGCGCCUUCGACUCCAUGUGUUCGUGACCCGCCGUGCGCCUUGCACCGCCUGAUCGGGGCGCACCGCCGCCGUCGUGCCGUCUUGCUAGGUACACCUGAUCUCCUGCUGCUGUAUCUUUUUGGUUUGCCCGAUCACUGAUCGGGAUUGAGUCGCCCACCGUCCGUCGACCUCGUGCGUUCUACUCCGGCAUCGGUAUUGACUUCAUUGACACCGUCUCCGAGUAUUACAUGCAUUUUCUCCGAGCAACAGGGCUGCUAUUGUGUCGCCUCAUCGGGCCACAAUACCGCUGUCCGUGUGUACGCUUCGCCGUUGCAUCUCCAUCGCCGUUAUCUGUGCAUCGACGAUUGUGCUGCACAAUCCCUGCUGCACCAUCCGUCUGCACAAGGUCUUCGUCCUGCUGAUUGGGUCUUCGUCAUCGAGCUGCCACUACCCGCGUCGUCGCUGAGACCUGCUCACUGACGCGUCUUCUCCCGCAUUGCUUCUUCUUCGUCCAGCACAACCACACGGUUGGGGCCCUCUCUCUUGUAUGCUUGGUAUUGGCAACACCGACGCGUGCUUUCGUCCUCGACAUGUUGCUGGAUCUGGCAAAUCCAGCUGCGCCUCGGUGCUCAGGCGGCUUGACUGCAUCAACUUCGGCAUCGACCCUCCCGUUCCUACCCCGUUUGCCUCGAUUGCGUCGUCGCCCUUCUUCUAUGACGGUCCUGAUUGCAUCGACUUCGGCAUCGCCCCUCCCACGACGACUGCCUCGACGCGUCUCCGUCAUUACCAUGGCGCCCCUUGUGUGCCUGCAGCUCCAUCGACACGCAACCCAACCACAACUACGUCGACCUCGGUGUAACACUCUAAAAUUUGCUCCUUUGAAGUAGAGUUUAAAAAAAUUAAUUAUGUAUUUUUUGUGUUCAUGAAAAUGUAGGAAAAAUAAUAUUUUUUAAAUUAAAAUUUAUCAUAAGGCUUAGCAAUAUUGUUGUGCAUACAUGCUGGUGCAUAAGAUUUAAUGUAAUGUUUGCUUGAUGCUCCUUCGUGUGUUGUGAGUGAGCAAAGUUUUAAAAAUACGUUUAGUAGAACGAUCGUCCUUGACCAGUACGUCUUUAUCUUUAUCCACAAUCAAAUUCUUUAUUUCUCAGCUCAAGUUUUUAUUAUGAGCUUCCUACAAUCUUUUCUUUGUCACCUAAAUUCCUUCUUUUAGUUUCUCGUUCAUCAAGCACUAUCUGCGAUCUUCUUGGUAAUUUUCCAGCUUUUUGCUGGAACUUGUUCCCACUGCUGUGAGCAUAAUCUAGAUGCUCCAUAUUAUCUUAUCAGGCGCUCCAAAUACUUUAUUUGAGUUCCUCAUGUUCUAUAAUGUCUCUGAGAAUUUUCUCCGAAUUUUCAGAGCUUUCGGAAUAUUUUUCAUAGCUUAAAUAAUAAUUCUAGAUUUUUUUGGAAUUAUUUUAUCCAUGAAAUUAAAUAAUUCCGAAAAUAAUAAAUCUCUAUUCUUUUUCCAAUGCUCAAGGCCCAUGUCUUUAAUUACUAAUGGGUUUUAAUAAUUAAUUAGACCUAUUAGUAAAGAUGGAGGUUACAACAUCAAUUAGUACCAUAUUGCUAGUUGAUGUAAUUGUAGAGAGUUUUUCUCCCUAUAUAUGUGUACCAAUCCCUGGGGCAAUGUACACCAAAACUACAUGAAAAAGAUCUUCUAGUCUGGAAAUUGCCUUGAGGCCAUCGUUGACACGCUUCUUGGCUGAACACCGCACGUAGCUCAGCCCUGGUCCAGCUUCAUCCUCCAGGCUGCACCAGCCGCACCUCAUCUAGGUCCAGCCCCGCACUGCAUGCAAGCCGGGCAUGCAUGAGGAUCGAUCAAGUAGGACAGCUUUUGGCUAUGGAAAGCACCAUCGGCAUUGUUCCAUCGAGAGGAGCGGCGGCCUCACAGCUCAUUUACAUCGGGACGAGGAGCUAGGGUCAAGGACAAUCUGGACUAGGAGCAAGGAGUUAAGAAAGGCUGAUGGCUUCACGUCACCCUCUAUGAUUGGUGAGAAAACUAAUCUGAUCAUUAUCUCUUUCGGUCUUGCCUGCACGAUAGUAUGCACGUUGGCCGGUGUCACAAUUCUGACCGAGAAGUGUUGGGAACAACAGCUAGAAGAUGGAGAUGUUGUCAGAUCACGAGAAGCAUCACGACAUGAAUAAGUCACGCGCUUACAUCUAAGCGAUCAAGGAGGGCAAUCACGCACCCGUAGGGUGGCCAUACGAGCGGAACAGAUGUGAACAGACAGGCCGCUGGUGCCAUGACGCCCGGUGUCCACAACACAAAAGCUGAAGGCACUUGCGGACUAAAGGUGUGGCCAUCUUGCUAGCUCCCAUAUUUACAAUUUAAUUUAUCUCCUAGGAUGCACUAAACAUGACCGUUUCUUCGUGUCAUAUGGUUGUGCAAUAUUUAGCCAUCCCUUCUAUUUCUAAAAUUCAAUCAUGAACUUUAUAUAUGCAUGCGAACUAUACCUUUCCAAUGUAAAAGCAAUACAUGACAAUCCCAAUCUUUCAUAAUUAAUUGUCAAAUUGGUUAAUGGAAACAUGGAUAUGUUUUUCAUAAUUUGCUCAAUUUAAACACGGGACAAACCUAACUCAUUAAAAUAUUCACAUGUUUACCUUCUUUUCAUGAAAGAAGUUUAUUUGCUUAUAAAUGAUUCUCAAAACAUUUAUAAUAAAAUAUGACUAGACCGAACUCUAGUUUCAUUAAAAAUAUAAUUUAACUAAGUUCAUAAUCGAGCACAUGAUUUUGUUCUAAUAAUAAUAAUAAUAAUAAUAAUAAUAAUAAUAAUAAUAAUAAUAUAUACGCCUAGUCUUUUCUUUUAUAUAAAACUUCUAGUUUCCAAACAUUUUUAUUGAUUGGUGUAUUGCUUUAAUUUAGUCAACUUUGUUUGUUAUGCAUGUCUGCUCGGAUGGUUGUGUGGUGCCUUAUGAUCUUGUCCAGUCGGUGAGAUAUACGUGCGACUCAGAAGUAGAUCUUUGAAGGUUUGGACUUGAAGAAGGAUCUGAGUUUAAGGCAAGUAUAGCAUGGGAUCAUCCUUGUUUCCUAUUAACUUUAAUCACACAAUUCAUAUUGCAUGUGUCUCCUUGAUAAGGAUUUCCUAGUAUUGAUCUUAUACCUUGUCACCUACGGUUUUGCAUUGGGUAGCUUAUGCUAGUGCUCCACUAAACCAUGAUCUUGUAAUUUGAUUAAAGGAAUAUGCAAUGAACAUUAAAAGAUUACUUUUUUGGCAACUUUGGAAAAGAGGGCUGGAGCAUUGGGCUAUCUUAUGGUGCUCUAGUUUCUCUCCAUAAGGACUUAUCUGUAUCUGACCAUCCGGGACAUACAGUACAACUGUGAGGGCUACAUGGCUCUGGCUUUAGCUCAGUAUGAGGACCUUUUCUAGCUUGUUAGUGGUUACCCUUGUGGCGCAAAUGGGGAAUAGCAGACCGUGGAUUCCUGCGGGUGAGUCACACGGACUGACUAACGAAACCUAGCGGCCCUAACUUGUUAGACGAACCUUUGAAAGGCUUCAUAGUGAACCUUACCGGCCUCCCUAGGAAGGGGGUUAAGAGACUCGCGACCUCGGGCGAAAGGGUAAAUCAUGACUCACAGUGAAAGUGUACAACCUCUGCAGAGUGUAAAACUGAUAUAUCAGCCGUGCUCACGGUCACGAGCGGCCUUGGACCAAUACAGAAUAAAUGAUCACUAAUGGCAAAUUAUUAAAGUUAUUGUUGUUAAUAUGUUGUUUAUGCUAUUCUUUAUUCAUUUUACCUGAUCAUGAGUUUACUUCGGGACUCGACAACUUGAUGCUACUCAUAUGCUAAAAUUGUGACAACUAAAAGCUACAUGCAGUUAAACCAGUGUCUAGCCUUUGAGCCUCAUGAACCCUAUGUUAUUCUUGUUGAGUACGAGAUGUACUUACGCUUGCCUUUAUAUUUUAUUUGGAUAAAAAUCCCGGAUGGGUACCAGAUUGCAAGCUUGGAAAAGAGUUUAGGCUUGUGCUCAACCAGUCAGUUGUCCCUGUGGAUUUGGAGCUUUCGCCUGAAGAACGGAGUGUCUUUCCGCUGUUUGCUAUCUAAGGUUAUAUCUUUUAUACUAAGUUCGUUACAUAUAAGCAUUGUCUAUUGAUAUUACCCCUAUUUGUGGCUAUAUGUGAGAUUUGACUUCCUGGGCUCACAUAUGGUGUGUAUCUGGUUUUGUUCUUAAAACUGGGUGCUACAAAGUGGUAUCAAAGCAAUGCUGACUGUAGGACGCAAGCCUAGUUAGAAAUUGGUCAUCUUAAGGUUUUGAAAUUGUUAUAACACCCUCGCUCUAUAAACCUUGGUAUUUUCCUCUAUACUAUAUCUCUACCCUUGCUAUUCCUUCCUACCUUGUUGCUUAUUUGAAAAAUCUUUGUUCUCAUCUUUACUCCUUGAUUUGGUAUGCUUUUAGAAUCUUCUCUUAUCUCUUCUUGUGUCUUCGAAAUAGAACUUUUAGGAUCUUUGCCCUUACUAUGAAGAGAACGAUAGUAUCGCAAGUUGCGUGAAGUGUGAACCUCUAAUGCUUAAUUGGUUGUUAUUAUGUUUAUGCUUGAUUUGGAUCUUUGUAAUGUGUGCAAUGAUUUUGUGGGAUUUCUCCAUAAUAUCAUUUAGUUUAUAGGCCUAAGGCAUAAGGAGUAGUGAAAUAAGUAGUUGGGUUUGGUUAUAUCCUGUUUCUGUUCCUUGCUGAUUUCUGGAGCAGUCUGCAAUAAUAUUGGUAUAUCUCAAGUUCUCAUCGUGAAAAGUUUGUCACCUUUUUCUGGGAACAACUAGAUUUCAAGAUCUUUGUCUGACCUCAAGAAUCACCCCAAUAGCUAUUCUGGAAUUGGAGUUAUGAAAAUCACAAGUUGAUGCAGUUGCGCUGUCCAGAAUCUGGACCAGUUUUGGGAACAUGCUGUUUGAGACAAAUAUAACUAUAGAAUUGGGAAAAGUGUUCUAUAGAAACGUUAUAGAAAAUUUGCUAAGAUUUCCAAAGGUAUAAGCUGGAACUUAUUUGGAUAAUGAGAACCUGAGAUAUGAUAUUUACAAUUGGAUGUUUGUGUUCUGUAUCAAAGUCUGGACAGUUUGGGUAUUCCCUAUUUUCAGCCAAGUUAAAUUUAGAAUCUGGGAAAAAGUUGUAUACUAAAGUUUUAGAGGAUUUCAUAAGCUUUUCAACAAUAUAAGGAUCGUCUCCAUAUGAUUUAUGUAGCUCGAGAUAUGACAGCUGCAAGUUACUGCAUAGGUGCUGAGACACUGUCAGGAGGAAUAUUAUGUAUGGCUGUUUUACCUAAGUUUCAAGACAGAACCUAAGGAAGUCUUCUAUAUGAAAGUUGUGGUGAAUUUCAUAAGUUUUCUAACGAUAUAAGCUACAACUCUAUUGGAUUCACAGAAUAAGGGUUAUGUCUGUUUUACUACGCUGGUGUUUUCAUAUCACAAGAAAAUUUCAGGAUACUUGUUUGUUCUCUUGCACAUAAGUUCAUUGGGAUGUCAGAAGGUCUUAAUGCUAGUCAACUUGACUGGAAAAAAGUGCAAGCUACCUUCCUUGUGUCCCCUAGUUGACCUUUCUUAAGAGGGUAGUCUUAUCAAAGGAGUUACAGGGAGAAGUAAUGGUUAACAUUGGAUCAUCGAUAAAGACCUCAAGUGUUUGGAAAAUUUGGUUUGAUACAGGAAAUUGUUCCAUUGAAGUGUGAUAAUAUGGAUGGAGGUAUAGGUCAUUGCUGGUACUCAUAGCUUGGAAGUGGUGCUUAUGAGAAUCAGGUGACACCAAAGGCUACAAAGUUAUACAUGGAAUAUGAGAGCUAGUCCAUACUGUGCCCCGACCUAUCUCAUCUUAUGGGGUAGUACCUUGAUAUGAUAGAUUAAUGCCCUUUCAAUUUACCAUGAAGAGAGAAGUUGUCUCUGGAGAUAUCCCAUGAUUAUAAUCUAUCCUGGCUCAAGUUAGUGAAAUUGGUCACUUGACAACUUAGGAAGUGGAUAUGCUACAUCUACUGUUGGUUCUACGGAGACUCAAAAGACUUCAUUGCUAAAGAGAGCAUGACCAGUUUGUUCUAGUUGAUGGAAGUUCUCAUCUAGGAGAUGUCAUCUUUAAUGAUGGACUUAAGAAAGUUAAAAAUGCAAGAGUUGGAAACCACCAAAGGAAAUUGAAUGAGACUUAGAGUUUUAUAGAUAUGGCAAGAGGCUAUCAUAGGUUUGCUGGGGCCAAAGUGAUCUUGACAUAAGAGUGAAUAAGAGAUUGACUUGGAAUGAUAAGAUUCUAUCAGUGGUUCACUGAAGGUGUUGUAAAGAUUGGUAAAUAGAGUUCCUCUAUUCCAUCGAGACCUUAGAUGUGCUCCAUACAAGAAAAGUAGUGGCUGGUGCAUAAGUCAACUAAGUGGGUUGGAUUAACUGACAUGAUGUGGAGGUAUCCAUAGUGGAGCAUGGAGAUACUAUCUUCUUGGUUAUAAGAGUGAUAUCUACGUAGAAUGUAAGAGACUAAAGGGCAUCUUUAGGAAGUUGGAUUUGAGCUGGUCACAUCAUUGAUGGAUUUGAGUGAAUCAAGAGUUAUGACUAGGAAAAGUGAUAUCACUUGAAUGAGAAAAAAAGCCUUUACGAAUGCUCAGAGCAUAAAAGGUGUGCUAGAGGAGUUCAAAUAACACCAAGUUUUGAGGAGUUCAGUGUUGAACUAGAGUGAUGUCACUAGUACUGCCAAAGGAGCUCUAUUAAUUACUCAUUUGAGAACCACAGGAACUGAAAAGAUUACUUAGAAGAUAUGUUGUGAGCUUGUGUAUUGCAGUAUGGUACAAAGAGUUUACCGUAUGCGAAGUUUUCUUAGAACAACAGUUAGAGCCUUCGGUGGGAGCCUUUUGAAAGCUUGCAUGGAUGUAAGUGUAGAACCCUAUUGAUUUGGAAUCAAACGUGAGAACACAAGUGUUUGGGCUAGAUGUUCUAAGAGAUGCAGAACUGCAAGAGUGUUCACGGAUGACUUUAAGGGUGGCACAGUCUCAACAGAAGAUAUAUGCUGACAACCGGAGAAAAGAAUAAGCUUUUGAAGUAGAAGACUAUAUGUAUUUGAAGGUGUCACCUAUGAGAAGUGUGAGAAGAUUUAAUAUGAAGGAAUGGUUAGCACCAAGGUAUAUCUGGCCUUUCAAAGUGUUAGAAAGAUGGGGUGAAGUGGCUAUUAGAGCAUCUGAAAGUUUGGGAGGAAUGCAUGAUGUUUUCCAUGUGUCUUAACUCAAGAAGUGUUUGUGUGUGCCAUAAUAGCAGAUAUCGUUAGAAGAAUUGACUAUUAAAGGGGAUCUUACUUAUGAAGAAUAUCCGGUAAAAAUUUUGGAAAUAGCAGAAAGAGUUACAGGAAGUCGAGUAGUCAAGAUGUGUAAAGUUCAAUGGAAUCGAUAUUACCGAAGAAGAGGCUAAUUGGGAAAGAGAAGAGGAUCUAAGAAAAACAUACCCGCAGUGGUUUGAGUAAGCACCAACUGAAUCUCGAGGACGAGAUUCAUCUUAAGAGGGGUAGAAUUGUAACACUCUAAAAUUUGCUCCUUUGAAGUAGAGUUUAAAAAAAUUAAUUAUGUAUUUUUUGUGUUCAUGAAAAUGUAGGAAAAAUAAUAUUUUUUAAAUUAAAAUUUAUCAUAAGGCUUAGCAAUAUUGUUGUGCAUACAUGCUGGUGCAUAAGAUUUAAUGUAAUGUUUGCUUGAUGCUCCUUCGUGUGUUGUGAGUGAGCAAAGUUUUAAAAAUACGUUUAGUAGAACGAUCGUCCUUGACCAGUACGUCUUUAUCUUUAUCCACAAUCAAAUUCUUUAUUUCUCAGCUCAAGUUUUUAUUAUGAGCUUCCUAAAAUCUUUUCUUUGUCACCUAAAUUCCUUCUUUUAGUUUCUCGUUCAUCAAGCACUAUCUGCGAUCUUCUUGGUAAUUUUCCAGCUUUUUGCUGGAACUUGUUCCCACUGCUGUGAGCAUAAUCUAGAUGCUCCAUAUUAUCUUAUCAGGCGCUCCAAAUACUUUAUUUG
rnacentral:lncRNA from 1 species